GGGCGCUUAGCUCAGCUGGUUCAGAGCGUCUGCCUUACAAGCAGAGGGUCGGGGGUUCGAAUCCCUCAGCGCCCACUA
rnacentral:tRNA from 3 species